rnacentral:rRNA from 1 species
CCUUGUACACACCGCCCGUCACACCAUGGGAGUGGGUUGCUCCAGAAGGCGUUAGUCUAACCGCAAGGGGGGCGACGCCCACGGAGUGGUCCAUGACUGGGGUG